CUGGGCGCUCGGACACCGGGCGCCGGCUCUUGGGUCGUGCUCUCCUGCAGCGCACACGCUCACUUUCUCACGCUCGCUCCCUCCCGGCGCCGCUUUCUGACGGGCGAACAAGUUUAUAUUUACCAUGAUGUUUAUUUGAUGACACCGUGAACAAAAUGUGCAAAAUGAGGCCCUACCAUGUUUUAAAAAAUGUUUUCAUCAAAUGGAUCUCAGAGGGACAUGCCCAAAACUCCUGCUACCAGAGUGAUCCUCUCUUCAUCUCUUUUCUCUAGCCAAUAAAUCAAAGUUUCAUUUCUCAAAAAAAAAAAAAAA
rnacentral:lncRNA from 1 species